UGCAAGUCGAGCGGCAGCGCGGGAGCAAUCCUGGCGGCGAGCGGCGAACGGGUGAGUAAUGCUUCGGAAUCUGCCCAGUAGUGGGGAACAACCAGUCGAAAGAUUGGCUAAUACCGCAUACGACCUGAGGGUGAAAGCGGGGGAUCGCAAGACCUCGCGCUAUUGGAUGAGCCGAAGUCGGAUUAGCUAGUUGGUGAGGUAACGGCUCACCAAGGCGACGAUCCGUAGCUGGUCUGAGAGGACGACCAGCCACACUGGGACUGAGACACGGCCCAGACUCCUACGGGAGGCAGCAGUGGGGAAUAUUGGACAAUGGGGGCAACCCUGAUCCAGCGACGCCGCGUGUGUGAAGAAGGCCUGCGGGUUGUAAAGCACUUUUAGUGGGGAGGAAAUGCUCAGACCUAAUACGUCUGGGAACUGACUUAACCCAAAGAAAAAGCACCGGCUAACUCUGUGCCAGCAGCCGCGGUAAUACAGAGGGUGCAAGCGUUAAUCGGAAUUACUGGGCGUAAAGCGUGCGCAGACGGUUAUCUAAGUCGAGUGUGAAAGCCCCGGGCUCAACCUGGGAAUUGCAUUCGAAACUGAAUAGCUAGGGUGCGGAAGAGGGAAGUGGAAUUUCCGGUGUAGCGGUGAAAUGCGUAGAUAUCGGAAGGAACAUCAGUGGCGAAGGCGACUUCCUGGUCCAGCACCGACGUUCAGG
rnacentral:rRNA from 1 species